AUUGAACGCUGGCGGCAUGCCUUACACGUGCAAGUCGAACGGUAACGCGGGGCAACCUGGCGACGAGUGGCGAACGGGUGAGUAACACAUCGGAACGUGCCCAGUAGUGGGGAUAGCCCGGCGAAAGCCGGAUUAAUACCGCAUACGACCUACGGGUGAAAGCGGGGAGUCGCAAGACCUCGCGCUAUUGGAGCGGCCGAUGGCAGAUUAGGUAGUUGGUGGGGUAAAGGCCUACCAAGCCCGCGAUCUGUAGCUGGUCUGAGAGGACGACCAGCCACACUGGGACUGAGACACGGCCCAGACUCCUACGGGAGGCAGCAGUGGGGAAUUUUGGACAAUGGGCGCAAGCCUGAUCCAGCCAUGCCGCGUGCGGGAAGAAGGACCG
rnacentral:rRNA from 1 species